AUAAUUUUACCAUUGUUUAUGAUUUUUUUAAUUACAAAUGUUUGAUUUUCUUUUUUUUAUAUAGAAAAAAAGUGUAAUAAAAUUUAGGGUGAAUUGCAAAAAUGACGUUUUUAGGAGAUGAAAUAAAGAAUAUAGCACUACAAAUCUAUAAUGUAGUGAAUAACAUUUAGGUGUGGUAAAAAGAUCACAAACUCCUUCUAACGAAAGAGAUAGUAAGCGCGUGGAAUAGGCGAAGAAUUGAAUACGAGUGGGUAACGUGACGUUGUUUUCAUCCAAGCAAUUUUCAGUAGCAUCAUCAAAGAAAAGUCCUGCAAACAAAACAAAAAAAUAUAGAUGAGGGUGAAAAUAGUUUAGCAGUUAAUACGACAAUUCAAAAUGUAAAGAUACAUAUAUUUCGCUUUCAAGCUUUACUUUGUUUGAAAAAAUAUCAAAUUGUUUAUAAGUACAGAAAACUAAACCCUAAGAAUGGUAGGGAACCCAAACAACAAAAUCUGAAACCCCCAAUUUAGAUUUUGUAAAAUUUGAAGUUUUGCCUCUGUAAAUCAAAACCCCAAUUCAAUUUAAUCAAAAACCCUAUAAGUCACUUCAGGAAAUUAAUUGCAUUGCUUCCAUCGUCAAUAUACCUCUGCUGAUUGUUGGCAAAAUUAGAAGUUUCAGAAAAGGUGGACUGCAACUUAUUAGAGCUAAAACUCUGUUUGAAAGUUAACAGUUGGUGAAAGAGAAGAAUUGGGUUCCUGCGAAAAGAAGAAGAUGAUGAGCGUGUUUCUCAAACAAGGAUAAUGUUGCCAUUAUUACAAAAAAUACAAACAAUAUACGUUACUUUUUUGUGGAGUGUUAGUUUCUUAAAUAUAAUAUUUUUGUAGAUUAUAAGCCCAAAUUUCUCUAAAAUUUACAUACUUCUAUCUAAUAAUAGAGUUACAUACUUCUAUCUAAAAAGUAUAAUAGAGUCACAUACUUCUAUCUAAUA
rnacentral:sRNA from 1 species